GCAAAUGAGUGGAUAGCUCAGUUGGUUAGAGCAUGGUUCUGAUAACGGCAAGGUUCAAACCAUAUAUGGUUUGAACCUCAUAUUCCUGCA